rnacentral:lncRNA from 1 species
CCCUAACUGUAUUAUUAACAGGGAAUUAAUUGCCGUUUCUUGUACGGAAGAUGCGGGCUUUUGCCUAUCUGAUAUUCUAAGGAACGAUAACCUGGCAUUACUUUUCCAAUCGGCGACCGUUAGGACAGGAAAUUGGUUUUUCGUUUGCCAGAUGCGACAGCAAUGCGUGCGAUUCGGUCACGUGACGCACGCAAUGCAAUCGGGCGACGACACGCCUGAGGGUGUCGAGCAGUCAGGCCUACCUGCAGGGGCCUCUUUCUAGUUUCCUUUGUCUACUGUCUGAGUCACGGGACGACCCUCUGAAGAUGCCCUACUCAAGCCAGUAGUGAGUCAGCAGCGACGAAGCAGGGCAAUAUUUCAGCCAGAGGAGUAAGGCACCGAGACAAAGGCCUUCCUGCUACUUAUAGGACCAUAAACUGAUUGACUCAUGCACGGAGCAUGAGGGACACCUCCACCAGCUCCUUCUUUCCUCCUGACCCUCCUCCCAAUAUGUCACGAGGUUGGUAGGAUUUGCUGUCGCUUGUCGUCUGAUCCCAGAUGGUAGGGGAUGGGAAGAGGCAACUUGUUUGACUUACACUCGUGAAAAUAGGACUCCAAAAUGUUAAAAAACGUCUUCAUUUCGCCAUUUUUCUAUCGAAAAUCACUCUAUAUUAAUUUUUACUUUAAACUCUCGCAUUUACCAUCAUGCUCUCCUGAAUCGUUCGGAUAUUUUUUCUUCUAACUAAUAUGCACGGAAUCUUAAUUAACUGGAGUUGACAUUUAACCUGUAGAUAGUUUAAAGGCUUUUAAUAAGUUUCGGUAACUGAAAAUGGAAGUGGAUUUAUGUUAUUAACUGUUGCUCGACAGUAUGUAACAGGGCCACCACUACCCUCCUUGGUAAGAAUAGAUUUCCCUUAUUCACUGUUCUUUGGUGAAGGGAGGGAUUUGAGAGGGAUUGAUCAUCCCUCCAGAUGCCAAAGUCUGCUAGGGGAUCAGAAAAUCUAUUGUUUGCUGGCACGUGGCAGAAGAAACGGGACUUUCUAACGUUUGAUCGAACAAUAGACGGAAAUGUCGUUUUUCAGUUCUUGAUCGCGGUCUGUCUGCCAACUCAAGUUAACGAAAAGAACCAGAAAAGAACUCUAAACUCUGUCUUCGCUUCAAACCCGAAUGGUUAUCGUGCUUUAAAAAAAAAAACAGAAAAAGAAUAAAGUGAUGUUACAGAUAUGCAACUAAAACAAAAAGUGGUUUCAAUCGAUAAAUCACCUAAAAAUCGAAAACAUUCAGUAAAGAAUUCAAGGACGAAAGCGAAACGGCGACAACCAACAACCUGUUGAUUUUCAGACCUUGCACCAAGAAUACUUCAAGAGUAACAUAUAAUAAUAUAAUGGAACAACCUGUAACUCUACACCCGCGCAAUAUAUACAGUUCAAACAUCCAAAACUGUAACAACCAGACACAGCAGAUAGGUAAAGUGCUGAGACGACAAAUACAAUAUCCUAACUAACAGGUGGUUCAAUAUUGCAGUAACUUAAUUCUAGUCGUUAGACCGAGUUGUUUCUCGAUAAAAAGUAACAUGAAACAGGUAGAAAGAUCAAUUUUUGACAACUUCCGCGUGUCGUAAUUUACGGUUCAAGGCCACUUUCUAUUGGCUAAUAAUUCGACUCGACGCAUACGACGGUGAUGAUGAUGAUGCAACCGUUUACGAAUUAGCGGAAUCAAGAUUUCCGAAAGUCAAAACGAACGGAACGAAAACAAAAUAAAACGUAUUGCAACUUCGUAAAUUUGUCCCAAAACUUAAAAUUAAUCGAAGGUUUUCGCGGGUUUUUUUAAGUUUUUCUCCGACCGAUAUAUUACGAAUAUUUAAUACAUUUUCUUUCUAGAAAUUCAAUUCGGAUGCAGUCUGCCUGUUUCUCAAUAGUGUACAGGUGGCAGUUUAUCUUCCUGUCUUCCCCUCCGUCCAGAAGGUGAGCUUUCAGGGAAAGCGGAUUGCCAGUGCAGUAAAGCUACCCCACCAAGGGAAACAGUCCCUGGCCUACCAUAAUGGCCAUUUAAGUGCUUGGCUCCAGUCUCUGCUGUUUGCAAGACAUAGGACGGAGAAAAUCGAUGGCGUUGAUUCAAAUCUUUCCAAAUGGACAAUGUUAUAUCGUUUACUGUAUAUGUAAGCGCAAGAUGUAAGCUUCGCUUAUACAAAAGGACUACAGUGUUUCCAUCUCCGAAACGUCUUCGUUCUUUUAACCGAAAACUCUUCCGAAAAUAAUAAUAAGUAAAAGAAAAAAAUCCGAGGGAAAAAAAACGUUGUUCCCAGAAGAACAAUAACAUUUUAUUCACGUUCUUGCCGAAAGUUAACUUUGGUAAGGUUAGAAGAAUAAAGAAAGGUGAAGGAGAGAAACACACCCGCUUCUCGCUAACAGAUAUCGAAACAAUGCAAUAAAAAAAAAAAGAUAAACAAAAUCCGGACGCGAUAAUCGGAACAAAUUUUUGUAAGGAGAAACACGAAUUUAGAAACGAGUUAUUGUGUUCAAAACAAACCGGGCGUGUUUGCACGAGGUGGCGAUUGUUACCCGACCGCUGACACCUUGUUAUAAGAUAGAAAAAUCGGGUUGAGAACACUCACCUGUCACACCUGGUUGACGCACCGGGUGCUGGAUGCGUCCCUCCCUCUACCGAUAAAGAAACAACAAAGACGUUCACCCGCACCCGAUUACGGAGAACGUGCUUCCCUUUACGAGCUGACUCAUAAACCAGACCCGACCAAUCAAACUUCUCAAAUGGUUUCGUCGUAAAAUCGUCUAGAAUAAUUAUAAUAAUAUUCGUAUUCACAUAAGAAUUAUUAAUAAUGAACUUUAAAUUUACUUUAAUGAACACGAAAUAAAUAAUAUUUAUUUUUUUCGCGUUCGGUAGUUUCUCAAAGAUGGCGGCUGUUAGUGGAGGCAUUUCCGAUAUGAUGAUGAUUUGUUUUGUUAUUGAGAGCGUGAUGCGGUGUGUUGAUGAUGCGGAUCAUUCGAGUUUUCUCCGGUUUUUGAUGUUUAGAAGAAUGACAACAAGUUUUAAGUCGAAAUUAAUGAUGGACUGUAUGAGAGUUAUCUGUUUGGAAAGAUUAUAAAAUAAGAUAUGUCGGAACGGUCGCAUCUACGUAUCCUAUAGAAACCUUGAGAAAUAACACGACAGCUGUUGACCACCUGCAACCAGGAAGAAGUAUAAGGCAAUCGGAAGACGACCAUUCAAGCGGAAGUACCGUACUUCCUUGUAAGAUUUCCGUUACACAUUAAAAAAUUGUAUAUCUUUAUCAUUUUAAUACACUUUAUCUUUAAAAAAAAGUUUCCGAGGAAAUUUAUAGGUCGAUUCGGCGCCGACAGAUGGCGACACCAUCAAAUCUGUCGGUGGAAAUUGCUAUAAUUGCCUAUCGCGUAAAUGGGAUAAAGAGAGGAUAAUCGGAGGAGGGGAAAAGCAUCGACCGCGUACGACACAAAGAACGUCCUGAGGAUGUCCAAAAUAAUACUUCCGCACGUUACCGGGUGGCGUCGUCUUGUUCCACAUCGUAACCGGGGCAACCGCGCCAAACGGGAAGUGACGCCAUCGUCACCUUACUUAGAGGGCGUGAAAAUAGUUCCGGUAAAGGGUCGAAUGAUUCUUAGCAGAGUCACACCGGACUUUCUUCCUGUUGAUACAGAUUCGUGAGAACCGACGUCUUGAUUUCCUUUUUUGGUAACAAAACUAGUUAUACCGGCGAAAACCGCAUUGACAGAACAAGAAACUACCAUUACAGGUGUUUUUAUUCUUCAAACGCAUCUGCCCAUCGCCUCCCCUCCUUUUUUUUGUUCUCUUCCCGAAUUCAUACAAAAGAGGCAAAAAAAAAAACAAAGUAUUAUUUGUCGAAAAAUUUUAAUAACAUGAACUGAAUUUACAAUGAAUGUUUUAACAGAGAAAAUAAAGCUUGUAUACUUUUUCCCUAUUAUGAAAUGGAUAAGGGAAAAUAAUGAUUUUGUGU